UACGAAGGGGGCUAGCGUUGCUCGGAAUCACUGGGCGUAAAGCGCACGUAGGCGGAUUGCUAAGUCAGGGGUGAAAUCCUGGAGCUCAACUCCAGAACUGCCUUUGAUACUGGCGAUCUCGAGUCCGGGAGAGGUGAGUGGAACUGCGAGUGUAGAGGUGAAAUUCGUAGAUAUUCGCAAGAACACCAGUGGCGAAGGCGGCAUCCUGGACUGGUCCUGACACUCAGGAGCGAAAGCGUGGGGAGCGAUCCGG
rnacentral:rRNA from 1 species